AUGAAGUACCAAUUCAGCUUGCAUGGUGAGAUGAUGUACAAUGGUCUUGAUGCCUGGGUGCAUGGCUGGAACGACAAGGAGAGGACCAUGAUGCAGAGAGUUGAUCUCCCAAAUUGGAGAGGAUUACUACCGCCUGAUGUUGUGCUUCACAUGGAAAAUAUUGAUACUGAGAACGCCCAUGCUGUGCCCAUUGCGAUGCUUGUGACGCACAAGCUUGGUUUCCCACUCUGCAUGUGUCGUCUGGUACCUUACCAGGGCACGGUGAUGGACCCAUUGUACACGCAGGUGGGAUCCCCAGUGUAUGAGAGCAAGCACGGGGCGACCGUGCGCAUGCUGCUUAAAGGACUGAAAAUCCUGGGCACCAUCCUGUUGGAUGGCUGGGAGAUGGAUAUCUCCAAAUGGACUGUUCGGUACAACAUUGAUUUGCACAUAGCUUGUUGUAGCGGUGAAUCGCCUGGCUACAUUGCGCACUAUGCGGACAACUUCAAUGCUUACGAGUUGGAGGAAGCCGUUCCUCAUGUUGGUCUUUCACUGCGUCGGAAAAGGAUGCUCUAUGAGACAAUUGCCUGCUCGGGCAAUACGGCUCCUCACCCUGGAUUCAUGGAGGAAGUGGAGGAGGAGUAG
rnacentral:rRNA from 1 species